GAUGAACGCUGGCGGCGUGCCUAAUACAUGCAAGUCGAGCGAAUGGAUUAAGAGCUUGCUCUUAUGAAGUUAGCGGCGGACGGGUGAGUAACACGUGGGUAACCUGCCCAUAAGACUGGGAUAACUCCGGGAAACCGGGGCUAAUACCGGAUAACAUUUUGAACCGCAUGGUUCGAAAUUGAAAGGCGGCUUCGGCUGUCACUUAUGGAUGGACUCGCGGCGCAUUAGCUAGUUGGUGAGGUAACGGCUCACCAAGGCAACGAUGCGGAGCCGACCUGAGAGGGUGAGCGGCCACACUGGGACUGAGACACGGCCCAGACUCCUACGGGAGGCAGCAGUAGGGAAUCUUCCGCAAUGGACGAAAGUCUGACGGAGCAACGCCGCGUGAGUGAUGAAGGCUUUCGGGUCGUAAAACUCUGUUGUUAGGGAAGAACAAGUGCUAGUUGAAUAAGCUGGCACCUUGACGGUACCUAACCAGAAAGCCACGGCUAACUACGUGCCAGCAGCCGCCGUAA
rnacentral:rRNA from 1 species